rnacentral:rRNA from 1 species
CUGAAAGUGCUUUACAACCCGAAGGCCUUCUUCACACACGCGGCAUGGCUGCAUCAGGCUUGCCCCCAUUGUGCAAUAUUCCCCACUGCUGCCUCCCGUAGGAGUCUGGACCGUGUCUCAGUUCCAGUGUGGCUGAUCAUCCUCUCAGACCAGCUACGGAUCGUCGCCUUGGUGAGCCUUUACCUCACCAACUAGCUAAUCCCACCUGGGCAUAUUC